AGUGAACGCUGGCGGUAGGCCUAACACAUGCAAGUCGAACGGCAGCACAGUAAGAGCUUGCUCUUACGGGUGGCGAGUGGCGGACGGGUGAGGAAUACAUCGGAAUCUACUUUUUCGUGGGGGAUAACGUAGGGAAACUUACGCUAAUACCGCAUACGACCUACGGGUGAAAGCAGGGGAUCUUCGGACCUUGCGCGAUUGAAUGAGCCGAUGUCAGAUUAGCUAGUUGGCGGGGUAAAGGCCCACCAAGGCGACGAUCCGUAGCUGGUCUGAGAGGAUGAUCAGCCACACUGGAACUGAGACACGGUCCAGACUCCUACGGGAGGCAGCAGUGGGGAAUAUUGGACAAUGGGCGCAAGCCUGAUCCAGCCAUACCGCGUGGGUGAAGAAGGCCUUCGGGUUGUAAGGCCCUUUUGUUGGGAAAGAAAAGCAGCAGGUUAAUACCCCGCUGUUCUGACGGUACCCAAAGAAUAAGCACCGGCUAACUUCGUG
rnacentral:rRNA from 1 species